AAUGAACGUUGGCGGCGUGGAUUAGGCAUGCAAGUCGAGCGCUCACCCGCAAGGGUGGGAGCGGCGAAAGGGAGAGUAACGCGUGGGUAUCUGCCCUCGGGACUGGGAUAGCUGCGGGAAACUGCAGGUAAUACCAGAUGACGUCCCCGGACCAAAGGUGUGAUUCCGCCUGAGGAUGAGCCCGCGUCCUAUUAGCUUGUUGGUGGGGUAAUGGCCUACCAAGGCAAUGAUGGGUACUGGGUGUGAGAACACGACCCAGCUCACUGGGACUGGGACACUGCCCAGACACCUACGGGUGGCUGCAGUCGAGAAUCUUCGGCAAUGGGCGAAAGCCUGACCGAGCGACGCCGCGUGUGGGAUGAAGGCCUUCGGGUUGUAAACCGCUGUCAGAGGGGAGGAAUGGGCGGAGGGUAAUCUCUUCGUUUUGACCUAUCCUCAGAGGAAGUACGGGCUAAGUUCGUGCCAGCCGCCGCAGUAACAC
rnacentral:rRNA from 1 species